GACGAACGCUGGCGGCGCGCCUAAUACAUGCAAGUCGAGCGAGAAGGUGUAGCAAUACACUUGUAAAGCGGCGAACGGGUGAGGAAUACAUGGGUAACCUACCCUCGAGUGGGGAAUAACUAGCCGAAAGGUUAGCUAAUACCGCGUACGCUUCCGGAACUGCGGUUCCGGAAGGAAAGCGAUACUGUGAGUAUCGCGCUCUUGGAUGGGCUCAUGUCCUAUCAGCUUGUUGGUGAGGUAACGGCUCACCAAGGCUUCGACGGGUAGCUGGUCUGAGAGGACGAUCAGCCACACUGGCACU
rnacentral:rRNA from 1 species